rnacentral:rRNA from 1 species
ACGGUACAACGAGUCGCAAGACCGCGAGGUUUAGCAAAUCUCUUAAAGCCGUUCUCAGUUCGGAUUGUAGGCUGCAACUCGCCUACAUGAAGCCGGAAUCGCUAGUAAUCGCGGAUCAGCAUGCCGCGGUGAAUACGUUCCCGGGCCUUGUACACACCGCCCGUCACACCAUGAGAGUUUGUAACACCCAAAGCCGGUGGGGUAACCUUUUGGAGCCAGCCGUCUAAGGUGGGACAGAUGAUUGGGGUGAAGUCGUAACAAGGUACC